GUCCGGGGGGAGCCGCGGGGCCGGGAGCGGGCUAGGCUGCGCCUCUACAUAACUGCUGCCGCCCGAGCUGCCGCUGACGUCUUUCGAAUUGGAGACGGGGCUCGCGCGCCUGCUUAGCCGCCCGUGAGCUGCAGUAAGACAUUUUAGGAUGUCCAGAAAUGUGCAGCGACUUAGAGACCACGAUACAAAUCCAUGUCUAGCGCUCUUAAGUGUGACAUGUCUUCCAUAUUAAAGGAAACGGAUGCCUCUAGACAAUGUUUGGAUGACAAUAACUACAGAAAGGAUAUGUGUGCCUCUUAUUUUUUAAAGUACAAAAACUGCAGAAAAUUUUGGCAUGCCAUUAUGAUACAAAGGAGAAGAGAUGGUGUGAAACCAAAUAUGCCUACAGCAGACGAGAGAGAGAAUAUAUUGAAGUCAAUAGGAGGAACACCAUACUGAUCACACAAUCUUUGUUUAAUAUUAUGUACAUAUGAAGAUUUGUCAGCUAGGCAUUAAAUUUUUUUAACAUUG